rnacentral:rRNA from 1 species
AUGAACGCUGGCGGCGUGCCUAAUCCAUGCCAGUCGCGCGAACAGAUAAGGAGCUUGCUCCUUUGACGUUAGCGGCGGACGGGUGAGUAACACGUGGGUAACCUACCUAUAAGACUGGGAUAACUUCGGGAAACCGGAGCUAAUACCGGAUAACAUUUGGAACCGCAUGGUUCUAAAGUGAAAGAUGGUUUUGCUAUCACUUAUAGAUGGACCCGCGCCGUAUUAGCUAGUUGGUAAGGUAACGGCUUACCAAGGCAACGAUACGUAGCCGACCUGAGAGGGUGAUCGGCCACACUGGAACUGAGACACGGUCCAGACUCCUACGGGAGGCAGCAGUAGGGAAUCUUCCGCAAUGGGCGAAAGCCUGACGGAGCAACGCCGCGUGAGUGAUGAAGGGUUUCGGCUCGUAAAACUCUGUUAUUAGGGAAGAACAAAUGUGUAAGUAACUGUGCACGUCUUGACGGUACCUAAUCAGAAAGCCACGGCUAACUACGUG